rnacentral:rRNA from 1 species
UACGUAGGGACCGAGCGUUGUCCGGAUUCAUUGGGCGUAAAGAGCUCGUAGGCGGCUGCUCAAGUCGAAUGUGAAAACUCGAGGCUCAACCUCGAGCCUGCAUUCGAUACUGGGCGGCUAGAGUCUGGUAGGGGGAGUCUGGAAUUCCUGGUGUAGCGGUGAAAUGCGCAGAUAUCAGGAGGAACACCAAUGGCGAAGGCGGCUUCCUGGCUCAUUACUGACGCUCAGGUACGAAAGCGUGGGUAGCAAACAGG